rnacentral:lncRNA from 1 species
GAAUUCACAUGUGAAAAAAAUAAAGUGAGAAAGAAAUUAGGAAAGAAAUCAUGCGCAUGCUGGACAUAUAAAACAAAAAAAGUUUAAAGACCAAGAUUGACAUGCAAUGACCAAUCGAUUGGCAUAGUGAAAAAGUUGAAAAAAAUAAGAGGACCAAUAGAUUGGUGUUAGGGAUCCAAUCAAUUGGUUGAUGAAUUUUUUAAAAAU